ensembl:lncRNA
CUCCAAAACUACAAUCUGAAGUCACCGACAUCACCACAAGUUGUUUGGAAGGGGUUCAAGAAAAAAGCCUCUACUCUCAUCCAAAAACACACUCGAGCGUCUUCAGUGUGCCGACACUACUGGAACUUCAAAUGGGAUCGGGUUCUACGGUCAGAUGAAACCAGAAUAGAGCUUUUUGGUAAUAAACACAGAGGUGGUUUUGGAGCACACAGAGAGGUAGCCGUAUGGAAAAGUCCCUCAUGCCCACGGUUAAAUAUGGAGGUGGAUCAUGGCAUCAUGGACUCUCAAAUAUCAACAGAUAUUAAAUGAAUGAAUUGCUUCAUUUUUCUCUCAUUUCACUGGCUACUACGAUGUGUCCU